ensembl:snoRNA SNORD72 small nucleolar RNA SNORD72
CACUUACCGAUGAUGGAAUGAGGAAAAUGUCCGAACAAAUGAAUCAAAUGUGAAAUCAGUAUUCAUUCUGAGGUAAGCU